CCUACGGGCGGCAGCAGUGGGGAAUAUUGCACAAUGGGGGAAACCCUGAUGCAGCGACGCCGCGUGAGUGAAGAAGUAUUUCGGUACGUAAAGCUCUAUCAGCAGGGAAGAAAAUGACGGUACCUGACUAAGAAGCCCCGGCUAACUACGUGCCAGCAGCCGCGGUAAUACGUAGGGGGCAAGCGUUAUCCGGAUUUACUGGGGGUAAAGGGAGUGUAGACGGCAGCGCAAGUCUGGAGUGAAAUCCCAUGGCUUAACCAUGGAACUGCUUUGGAAACUGUGCAGCUAGAGUGCAGGAGAGGUAAGCGGAAUUCCUAGUGUAGCGGUGAAAUGCGUAGAUAUUAGGAGGAACACCAGUGGCGAAGGCGGCUUACUGGACUGUAACUGACGUUGAGGCUCGAAAGCGUGGGGAGCAAACAGGAUUAGAUACCCCUGUAGUC
rnacentral:rRNA from 1 species